UCAGUCUUCCGGGAAAUCUGCCAGCUUAACUGGUAGUCUAUCGGUGGAUACUGCCAGACUUGGAACCGGGUGAGGUAAGAGGUACUACAGGGGUAGGAGUGAAAUCUUGUAAUCCCUGUAGGACUACCUGUGGCGAAGGCGUCUUACCAGAACGGGUUCGACGGUGAGGGACGAAAGCUGGGGGCACGAACCGGAUUAGAUACCCGGGUAGUCCCAGCUGUAAACUAUGCUCGCUAGGUGUCAGGCACGGUGCGACCGUGUCUGGUGCCGCAGGGAAGCCGUGAAGCGAGCCACCUGGGAAGUACGGCCGCAAGGCUGAAACUUAAAGGAAUUGGCGGGGGAGCACAACAACGGGUGGAGCCUGCGGUUUAAUUGGAUUCAACGCCGGAAAUCUUACCGGGACCGACAGCAAUAUGAAGGCCAGGCUGAAGACUUUGCCGGAUUAGCUGAGAGGUGGUGCAUGGCCGUCGUCAGUUCGUACUGUGAAGCAUCCUGUUAAGUCAGGUAACGAGCGAGACCC
rnacentral:rRNA from 1 species